GACUGGGGUAGAAAAGGAAGGAAGAAUGGAAGGAGGAAUAGCGGGAGACAGGACAGCCUCAGCGCAAACUUUCAUUUCCUUCCCACCAGAGGGCACUAGGAUCCCCCUCUCCCCACUGCAGUGCUGGCCUGUGAGUUGAACUUUCCACAAUUGCCCAAACCUCUCCUAUAUGACAAGGAGCCCUCAGCCAUUCUGGCCACAGCACCCAGUCCCUCUCCUUAGGAAGCAGGUACAAUCCGUCUAACACAGCCUUGCAGGAGGGUGAGUGGGCGUGGGUGUGCGUGUGCAUCUCUGUAUGUGGGGGUCUGUUUCUGCGUGUGUAUCUCUGUGUCUCUGCACCUGUGUGUGUCCCUGUAUCUGUGCACACGCCCUCUCAGCAGCAGCGUCUGGUGAUGAAGCAGUUGGGGCUGGUGCUUCUGCUGGGAGUGGCGGCAGCUCCCUUCCACAGCUCAGAGCCCUCUUGGCCCCCUGGCUCCCCACAUCCCAGGGGCCUGCACACCUGGUUUCUGGCUUCUGAGCCCUCCUAAGCUGAGGCUGCUUUCCCUUAAUUAUUUCCUGCCUGAGUCCUGGAGCAGCAUCUUUAACUAUUUACUGCACAGAGUGCAGGCUGAGGCGGCAGAGCUGGGAGCCGCAGAGGCCACUCGAGCGGGCUGAGGUCCUGGAGCAGAGUGGAAGGACCACAGAGUCCACAUUUGGGACCUGCCUCCUGUCUGGUAUGAGCUGUGUGACUUUGGGGCCCUCCUUGAGCUUCAGUAUCAUCGUCUUUAAAAUGGGGACAUUAAUAACUAUGUCAUGGGUUGUUAUGAGGAAAUGAGAGUUCAGAGCCCAUGGUCUCAUCGGGGAGAUCAAAUCAUCAAAUUAUAACACAACGUGCAGUGAGGGCCAAACUGUUAAUAAUAAUCAUAAGCGACUUUUACUGAGGGUUUCCUCAGCGUCACACACUGGGCUAAGCACAUUACAAGCCCUCACUUGAUCCCCGCAUCGACCCCAUGAGUUGGCCUCUAUUAUUUCUCUGUUUUACAGAUGAUGCCACCAAGACCCUGAUAUGUGAGAUGACUUGCCCAAGGUCCCACAGCCAGUAAUUUGAAUGCAGGCAGUCAAACCAAGGAGGAAGCAGGGAGCAGCUGUGCCUGGAUGGGCGAGGGUGGAGGACUGCACAGGUCAGGGAGCUCGUUCUGGCUCCUGCCAGGGGAGUCGGCCAUGCAGUGUGUGAAAGGUCUCCUGGUUCCUGGGAGUGUUGGCUGUGAUGACAUCAUCCUAGAAGUCACUGACUGGAUUGGCAAUGGGGCUGAUGCUGAGUGCCUGGCACGCUAUGUGCUGGGCACUGGGCUACACAACGGACACUGAAUACUUUCCAUAGACAACCCUGCACGAUGCAUGACCUUGGGCAAGUUACUUGACCUUUGUGGGCCUCAGUUGCCUUGUCAGUAAAUUGGGGAUAAUAAUAGGACUCACUUCCCAGGAAUAAAUGACUUUCUCCAAGUAAA
rnacentral:lncRNA from 1 species